rnacentral:rRNA from 1 species
UACAGAGGUCUCAAGCGUUGUUCGGAUUCAUUGGGCGUAAAGGGUGCGUAGGCGGUCGUGCAAGUCGGAUGUGAAAUCUCGGGGCUCAACCCCGAAACUGCAUUCGAUACUGCGUGGCUCGAGUACUGGAGAGGAGACUGGAAUUUACGGUGUAGCAGUGAAAUGCGUAGAUAUCGUAAGGAAGACCAGUGGCGAAGGCGAGUCUCUGGACAGUUACUGACGCUGAGGAGCGAAAGCGUGGGGAGCGAACAGG